rnacentral:sRNA from 1 species
GCACCUGCAAAAUCAGGUGCCGGGAUUGACCUCCUGAUAUUCCUCAUCGGCGACACAUGACGCGCGUUGCGUCUCCUGU